UCUCCUCGAAAUAGCUUUAGGGCUAGCCUCAUGGAUCAUUGAUGGGGGUAGAGCACUGAAUGUGCGCGGGGGCCACAAAGCCUACCAAACGCUAUCAAACUUCGAAUACCAUACAAUGCAGACCAUGGGAGUCAGUCCGCGAGAGAUAAGUUCCGCGGGCAAAAGGGGAACACCCCAGAUCAACCGCUAAGGUCCCCAAGUUCACGUUAAGUGGAGAAGGAUGUGGAAUUGCACAGACAACCAGGAUGUUGGCUCAGAAGCAGCCACACAUUUAAAGAGUGCGUAAUAGCUCACUGGUCGAGUGAUUGUGCGCCGAAGAUGUCCGGGGCUAAACGUGACACCGAAGCGAUGGGUGCAUCUGAAAGGAUGCGCGGUAGAGGAGCAAUGUGCAGAGGCAGAAGCCGUAUCGAGAGGCACGGUGGACACUGCACAAGAGAGAAUGCCGGUAUGAGUAGCGAGAGGCAUGCGAGAAACAUGCCCGUCGAAAGCCCAAGGUUUCCUGGGGAAGGUUCAUCCGCCCAGGGUAAGUCGGGGCCUAAGCCGAGGACGGAAGUCGUAGGCGAUGGACAGCAGGUGUAGAUUCCUGCACUACCGAUGGAAUGAAGCAGUGACACAGAAGGAUAACUCGAGCAGGGUGAUGGUCAACCCUGUGCAAGCAUCAAGGUUGGGUUGUAGUGAAGUACGCAACCCUAUAAGCUGAGAUGUGAUGCGGACCGAAAUUUCAGUAGGGAAGCGAGUGAGUUCACGCUGGCGAGAAAAGCUGCUAGUACAUCCAAAGGUACCCGUACCGGAAACCGACGCAGGUGGGCGAGGAGAGAAUCCUGAGACGAACGGGAGAACCCUUGUUAAGGAACUCGGCAAAAUGACCCCGUAACUUCGGGAUAAGGGGUGCCUGCGAGAGCAGGCCGCAGAGAAUAGUCACAAGCGACUGUUUAGCAAAAACACAGGUAUCUGCGAAAGCGAGAGCUGACGUAUAGGUGCUGACACCUGCCCGGUGCUGGAAGGUUAAGGGAACAUGUUAGAGCAAUCGAAGCAUCGAACCGAAGCCCCAGUAAACGGCGGCCGUAACUAUAACGGUCCUAAGGUAGCGAAAUUCCUUGUCGGGUAAGUUCCGACCCGCACGAAUGGUGUAACGACUUGUGAGCUGUCUCAACAGGGGGCCCGGUGAAAUUGAAGUAUGGGUGAAGAUGCCCAUUACCCGCGACUGGACGGAAAGACCCCGUAGAGCUUUACUGCAGCCUGAUAUUGAGUUUCGGUAACUGAUGCACAGGAUAGGUGGGAGUCUGAGAGACAUGGGUUUCGGCUCGUGUGGAGACGGUGUUGGGAUACCACUCUUCGGUUACUGAAAUUCUAACAUAGCUCUGUGAAACCAGAGGAUGGACAGUGUCAGGUGGACAGUUUGACUGGGGCGGUCGCCUCCGAAAGAGUAACGGAGGCGCCCAAAGGUACCCUCAGAAUGGAUGGAAACCAUUCGAAGAGCGCAAAGGCAGAAGGGUGCCUGACUGCGAGAUUGACAAAUCGAGCAGAGACGAAAGUCGGGCUUAGUGAUCCGGCGGUAUUGAGUGGAAAAGCCGUCGCUUAACGGAUAAAAGCUACCUCGGGGAUAACAGGCUGAUCUCCCCCAAGAGUCCACAUCGACGGGGAGGUUUGGCACCUCGAUGUCGGCUCAUCGCAUCCUGGGGCUGUAUUCGGUCCCAAGGGUUUGGCUGUUCGCCAAUUAAAGCGGCACGCGAGCUGGGUUCAGAACGUCGUGAGACAGUUCGGUCCCUAUCCAUCGUGGGCGUAGGAGUCAUGAGAGGAGCUGUUCCUAGUACGAGAGGACCGGAAUGGACGCACCACUGGUGCAACUGUUGUCGUGCCAACGGCAUAGCAGGGAAGCGAAGUGCGGAUGGGAUAAACGCUGAAGGCAUCUAAGCGUGAAGCCCACCUCAAGAAUAAGUGU
rnacentral:rRNA from 1 species